rnacentral:rRNA from 1 species
AGCGAACGCUGGCGGCAGGCCUAACACAUGCAAGUCGAACGAAGUCUUCGGACUUAGUGGCGGACGGGUGAGUAACACGUGGGAACGUGCCUUUAGGUUCGGAAUAACUCAGGGAAACUUGUGCUAAUACCGAAUGUGCCCUUCGGGGGAAAGAUUUAUCGCCUUUAGAGCGGCCCGCGUCUGAUUAGCUAGUUGGUGAGGUAAAGGCUCACCAAGGCGACGACCAGUAGCUGGUCUGAGAGGAUGAUCAGCCACAUUGGGACUGAGACACGGCCCAAACUCCUACGGGAGGCAGCAGUGGGGAAUCUUGCGAAAUGGGCGAAAGCCUGACGCAGCCAUGCCGCGUGAAUGAUGAAGGUCUUAGGAUUGUAAAAUUCUUUCACCGGGGACGAUAAUGACGGUACCCGGAGAAGAAGCCCCGGCUAACUUCGUGCCAGCCGCCGCCGUAAUAC